CCUGGGGAGUACGNCCGCAAGGUUGAAACUCAAAGGAAUUGACGGGGGCCCGCACAAGCGGUGGAGCAUGUGGUUUNAAUUNGAAGCAACGCGAAGAACCUUACCAGGUCUUGACAUCCCGAUGCUAUUCUUAGAGAUAGGAAGUUACUUCGGUACAUCGGAGACAGGUGGUGCAUGGUUGUCGUCAGCUCGUGUCGUGAGAUGUUGGGUUAAGUCCCGCAACGAGCGCAACCCUUAUUGUUAGUUGCCAUCAUUAAGUUGGGCACUCUAGCGAGACUGCCGGUAAUAAACCGGAGGAAGGUGGGGAUGACGUCAAAUCAUCAUGCCCCUUAUGACCUGGGCUACACACGUGCUACAAUGGUCGGUACAACGAGUUGCGAGCCGGUGACGGCAAGCUAAUCUCUGAAAGCCGAUCUCAGUUCGGAUUGGAGGCUGCAACUCGCCUCCAUGAAGUCGGAAUCGCUAGUAAUCGCGGAUCAGCACGCCGCGGUGAAUACGUUCCCGGGCCUUGUACACACCGCCCGUCACGCCACGAGAGUUUGUAACACCCGAAGUCGGUGAGGUANCCUUUUA
rnacentral:rRNA from 1 species